UGGGGAAUCUUGCGCAAUGGACGAAAGUCUGACGCAGCGACGCCGCGUGGGCGAUGAAGGCCUUCGGGUUGUAAAGCCCUGUGGGGAGGGAAGAAUAAGGGGUGGUGAACAACCAUUCUGAUGACGGUACCUCCUUAGCAAGCACCGGCUAACUCUGUGCCAGCAGCCGCGGUAAGACAGAGGGUGCAAACGUUGUUCGGAAUUACUGGGCGUAAAGCGCGUGUAGGCGGCUAGGCAAGUCGGGUGUGAAAGCCCUUGGCUCAACUGAGGAAGUGCAUUCGAAACUGCCGAGCUUGAGUCCCGGAGAGGAUGGUGGAAUUCUCGGUGUAGAGGUGAAAUUCGUAGAUAUCGAGAGGAACACCGGUGGCGAAGGCGGCCAUCUGGACGGUGACUGACGCUG
rnacentral:rRNA from 1 species